CGUUCCCGGACCUUGUACACACCGCCCGUCAAGCCAUGGAGUCGGAGGACCUGAAGGCAGUUGCUGUGAGGCGCUGUUUAGGGUAAACCGAUGACUAGGCU
rnacentral:rRNA from 1 species